rnacentral:rRNA from 1 species
CAGCUCCAAUAGCGUAUAUUAAAGUUGUUGCAGUUAAAAAGCUCGUAGUUGGAUUUCUGUUAAUAAUUUAUAUAAAAUAUUUUGAUGAAUAUUUAUAUAAUAUUAACAUAAUUCAUAUUACUAUUUUUUUUUUUAGUAUAUGAAAUUUUACUUUGAGAAAAUUAGAGUGCUUAAAGCAGGCAUAUGCCUUGAAUACUCCAGCAUGGAAUAAUAUUAAAGAUUUUUAUCUUUUUUAUUGGUUCUAAGAUAAGAAUAAUGAUUAAUAGGGACAGUUGGGGGCAUUUGUAUUUAACAGUCAGAGGUGAAAUUCUUAGA